rnacentral:rRNA from 1 species
GCCAGCAGCCGCGGGAACACCGGCGGCCCGAGUGGUGAUCGUGAUUAUUGGGUCUAAAGGGUCCGUAGCCGGUUUGGUCAGUCCUCCGGGAAAUCUGAUAGCUCAACUAUUAGGCUUUCGGGGGAUACUGCCAGACUUGGAACCGGGAGAGGUAAGAGGUACUACAGGGGUAGGAGUGAAAUCUUGUAAUCCCUGUGGGACCACCUGUGGCGAAGGCGUCUUACCAGAACGGGUUCGACGGUGAGGGACGAAAGCUGGGGGCACGAACCGGAUUAGAUACCCGGGUAGUCCCAGCCGUAAACGAUGCUCGCUAGGUGUCAGGCAUGGCGCGACCGUGUCUGGUGCCGCAGGGAAGCCGUGAAGCGAGCCACCUGGGAAGUACGGCCGCAAGGCUGAAACUUAAAGGAAUUGGCGGGGGAGCACAACAACGGGUGGAGCCCUGCGGUUUAAUUGGACUCAACGCCGGACAACUCACCGGGGGCGACAGCAAUAUGUAGGCCAAGCUGAAGACUUUGCCUGAAUCGCUGAGAAGUGGUGCAUGG